CAAGGUGUACCAAAAAGUGCUGGAGUGCCAUACUAUGCGUCUUCUUCCAUAUUUGGCAUAGGUGCAAACACGGUCCUAAUCAUUAUGAUCAUAGUGAUGUUGUCAGUAGUAGUGGUGAAUGU